ACUUCUAGUGUCUGAGGAACAUUUGAAAAAAUAAACUAAACUGGCGUCAUCCUGAUCCCAGCAGCUUAGUUAUUAACGUAAAAAGUCCAGAGAGGCUUCCUUUUUGAGUCUAUUUGGGAAGGACUGAGCUGAAGAUUUGCUGUGGGUGGGAUUAGAUGAUGCGGCCUAAGCUAAGAGCAGAGCAGUGUUGAGGCCACUCUUGACUCUCACCUAAAUUGGGACUUGGAUGCCUCCUUCAAUCAAAUUCUUUAAUGUUGCGUUAAAGAAGCUAAGCUUGAGAUCUCAUCUGGCCUAGAACAAUUUUCUUCAGGCAUUCAGCAGCCUUCAGAAAGAAGUAUCUUAAUUUUGCCUAGUUUUAUUGUUCCAAUUUACUAUGUGUUUCUUACUCAAUAAACAAGCAGAAUUUUUGUCCUGCUUUAUCUAGGUAUUAAAGACGAGAAGUUGGAUCCACUGAGUUAGUAUGUUUCCUUGAAAAAGAAAAGUGAUUAAACUUAAGUUUAAGCCUUCUUUUGUAUUGUAACUUUUUCAUAAAAGUAACUUGAAAUCUUAACAAACUAGACACAGUGCAAAUUAUUACAUGUACAUGGACUUGUAGUGUUCUGAAAUAAGGGAUUUUUAAGGAAAUAAUUGCAUUAUUAUUGACUGUGUUCAAAGGUACAUUUAAGACCAGUUUCAUUGGCAUAAUUGCGUAUGGUCUCAGCUACUAGGAGGCAGAGGCAAGAGGAUCAGGCACUAGAAAGAGUUCCUUCAACAGUAGGUGGGUGGAGUAGGUUACCAAGAGGUAUUUUCUUUAAGCACAAUACUGCUUGCUACUAAAAUAAGUGAUUCUGGGGCAGGAGAGAUAAGUUGGUGCUUGCCUUGUAAGAAAUAGGACCUGAGUUAAUCCCUGGAACCCACAUUUAGAAAGCCAACAAGCUCCGAUAAGCAAAAGCUACACAGAGAAAACCUGUCUCAGGAAAAGAAAAAACUAAAGAAAGGAAGAAAAAGGCCAGCAAGGGCUGGGCAUCGUGUGCAGCACAUGCCCUGAGUUCCAGCAAACAGAUCUCUGAGUUUAAGGCCAACCAAGGUGACUAAGACCCUGUCUCAAACACAACAGAGCUAACAGGCUGUAAUGAUGUGUACUUGUGAGCAAAGGCCUGAGUCAGCCUAAUCAAUGAGUUCCAGGGCCCCAAUGGAAGACCCUGAUUAUAAAAGGUGAGAUUUCUUUAAACAUCUGUAAAAAUUAGUGUCUAGAUAGAACAAAAAGCUCUCUGUGUACAUAAAGUUAAGAAAGUGCUUCUACCCCAAUGGUGGCUUGAAACAAGCAUGAGAAACCUAGUCUUAGACCUUUUGCCUCUCCCAUCAUGUAGGUUAAUGGUGACUUGAAACUCUAGGUUAUAGUGUAUACAUAGAACUAUAGGCUAUUUCAUAUCUAUCUACUCAAAAAUCAGAGAAAAUGGCUAAGUGGUGGCACACACCUUUAAUCUCAGCCUCAGGGGACGGGGGUAUGAUCUCUUGAGUUUGAGGACUGCCAGGGCUGUGUAGGAAAACUGUCUUCGAGACAAAAAUGUAGAACUUACUUCUUAGAAUGCUCCUUUUGGUCAUAUCUCAGAAGCUUGCAUGUGAGUUUCAUAAAUCUUCAGCAAAUGGGUUUCUAUCAUAGACACUCUCUUCUGCAAAGAUCUUCUCAAUGUUAACAUUUACUGAUAAUUUUUUAUAGUUCCUUUGAGUUUGUAGAGAGGAUGUUUUGGUUUCUCGACAAGUGGUUUUUUGUUUCAUUUUGUAUAUUUCUUUCAUAGAAAUUAUAGAAAGUUUAAUCUUGCUUUUUUGGUUAAUACUUGUUUUGUAAUAAGGUGGGUUUCUGGUCCGAUUACUUGUAGGCCUUUCAGUUAUUGCAUAUUUCAUAGACAAUGUUUUUUUUCUAAUGUCUCUUGGAUUUUUUUUUCCAAUGCUGAAAUGUCUAAAACAAUAGAAUAAUUUGGAGGGCUCCCUAGUGAGAUCUCUUAUUAGAAGCACAGUACAUAUAGAAAAAGUUUAAGAUCACUGUUUCUUCAGCUAUGGACAGCAUAGGAGAGAAACUUAGCUAGAUCAUUUAGAAGGCAGAUUCUCAUGGGAUUCUGCUCUCCUGUCUUUAGCUGCUCACUGUCUCAGACAUAAGUAUUUAUGUCUUUAUUACAAUAGAAAAGGUUGUGCCGACCUUCCAAGGUGUGGCCUUCCCUCACCC
rnacentral:lncRNA from 1 species